AGCAGCCGCGGUAAUUCCAGCUCCAAUAGCGUAUAUUAAAGUUGUUGCAGUUAAAAGCUCGUAGUUGAAUUUCGGGAUUGGCGCAUCGGUCGUGCCUCACGGGGUAUGAACUGGUGCAGUCAAUUUCUCACCUUCUGGAGAACCGCGAUGUCCUUAAUUGGAUGCCGCGGGGAACCAGGACCUUUACUUUGAAAAAUUAGAGUGUUUAAAGCAGGCAUUUUUGCUUGAAUACAUUAGCAUGGAAUAAUAAAAUAGGACGGCAUGGUUCUAUUUUGUUGGUUUCUAGGACCACCGUAAUGAUUAAUAGGGAUAGUUGGGGGCACUAGUAUUCAAUUGUCAGAGGUGAAAUUCUUGGAUUUAUUGAAGACUAACUACUGCGAAAGCAUUUGCCAAGGAUGUUUUCAUUAAUCAAGAACGAAAGUUAGGGAUCGAAGACGAUCAGAUACCGUCGUAGUCUUAACCAUAAACUAUGCCGACUAGGAAUCAGACGAUGUUAAUUUUUAAUGUACUUCGUUUGGCA
rnacentral:misc_RNA from 1 species